rnacentral:piRNA from 1 species
UGCUCCUACUGGUUACAGAGCCGUAAA